rnacentral:lncRNA from 10 species
GCCUCGUGAACCCCUCUCUCCAGGAGGAGGGCAUCAUGACGCACUAGACCUGGCUGCAGGUGGUGAGUGAAUGUAGCUGCGCCCUGAGCAGAGGGGAGAGGGGCCAUGAGGAGGCUGUUUUGGGGCCCUUCUGGAGCAGGGCCGGAGAAGGGUAGGAGAUUGAAGAGGUGCAACCAGCGGAAAUGCCCAGCCCCGGGACCAGGGGACUAGGGACAGGAGCCUACCCUGUGCGGCUCUGAGGAGUGGCUGUGAGCACUGCACGCAGGACUGAGAAAGCCCGGGAUAAGCCCGGAGUGCAGGGAAACCCGCAGCCCCCUGGGCAGAUGUGGAGAAGAAUCUGGACAAGCUGACCGAGACCCCGGUACCGGGGGUCUCCGUGUGUGCCUGGCUGCGUGAUCAGAGGUAACUCCCCUCAUCUACUUCCCGUCUCUAUGGAUUUACCUAUUUUGUGUAUUUCAUGUAAGUAGAAUCAUACAAUACUUGUCCUUUUGUGUCUGGCUUACUUCACUCAGCAUAAUGUCCUCAAGGUUCAUCCAUGUUGUAGCAUGUGUCAGAAUUUCAUUCCCAGCAAAGAAAUUUUUAAUAACCCAUCUCUGCCAGAAAAAAAGACCCCCCAAAAGUUACAGAUUAACCAUCUGUGAACAAAGGAUGAAUGGGCGGACAGGCUGACACAGUCACGUUACUGGAAUCCAUUAUGCAGUCACCGCUUGGCAUCUGCAGGAAAUUAGUUCCAGGCCCCCUGACCAAUACCAAAAUGCGUAGAUGCUUAAGUCCCUGAUAUAAAGUGAUGUAGUAUUUGCAUUUAACCUACACACAUCCUCCCACAUACUUUAAGUCAUCUCCAGAUUACGUAUAAUACCUAAUUCAAGGCCAGGCACAGUAGCUCACACCUGUAAUUCCAGCACUUUGGAAUUACAAAAAUUCCAAAUCUCCAGGCCAAGGUGAGAGGAUCACGUGAGCCCAGGAAUUCAAGACCAGCUUGGGCAACACGGUGAGAGCCUAUUCUUUUCCCCA